GGGUUGUGAGGUUAAGCGACUAAGCGUACACGGUGGAUGCCCUGGCAGUCAGAGGCGAUGAAGGACGUGCUAAUCUGCGAUAAGCGUCGGUAAGGUGAUAUGAACCGUUAUAACCGGCGAUUUCCGAAUGGGGAAACCCAGUGUGUUUCGACACACUAUCAUUAACUGAAUCCAUAGGUUAAUGAGGCGAACCGGGGGAACUGAAACAUCUAAGUACCCCGAGGAAAAGAAAUCAACCGAGAUUCCCCCAGUAGCGGCGAGCGAACGGGGAGCAGCCCAGAGCCUGAAUCAGUAUGUGUGUUAGUGGAAGCGUCUGGAAAGGCGCGCGAUACAGGGUGACAGCCCCGUACACAAAAAUGCACAUGCUGUGAGCUCGAUGAGUAGGGCGGGACACGUGGUAUCCUGUCUGAAUAUGGGGGGACCAUCCUCCAAGGCUAAAUACUCCUGACUGACCGAUAGUGAACCAGUACCGUGAGGGAAAGGCGAAAAGAACCCCGGCGAGGGGAGUGAAAAAGAACCUGAAACCGUGUACGUACAAGCAGUGGGAGCACGCUUAGGCGUGUGACUGCGUACCUUUUGUAUAAUGGGUCAGCGACUUAUAUUCUGUAGCAAGGUUAACCGAAUAGGGGAGCCGAAGGGAAACCGAGUCUUAACUGGGCGUUAAGUUGCAGGGUAUAGACCCGAAACCCGGUGAUCUAGCCAUGGGCAGGUUGAAGGUUGGGUAACACUAACUGGAGGACCGAACCGACUAAUGUUGAAAAAUUAGCGGAUGACUUGUGGCUGGGGGUGAAAGGCCAAUCAAACCGGGAGAUAGCUGGUUCUCCCCGAAAGCUAUUUAGGUAGCGCCUCGUGAAUUCAUCUCCGGGGGUAGAGCACUGUUUCGGCAAGGGGGUCAUCCCGACUUACCAACCCGAUGCAAACUGCGAAUACCGGAGAAUGUUAUCACGGGAGACACACGGCGGGUGCUAACGUCCGUCGUGAAGAGGGAAACAACCCAGACCGCCAGCUAAGGUCCCAAAGUCAUGGUUAAGUGGGAAACGAUGUGGGAAGGCCCAGACAGCCAGGAUGUUGGCUUAGAAGCAGCCAUCAUUUAAAGAAAGCGUAAUAGCUCACUGGUCGAGUCGGCCUGCGCGGAAGAUGUAACGGGGCUAAACCAUGCACCGAAGCUGCGGCAGCGACGCUGAUGCGUUGUUGGGUAGGGGAGCGUUCUGUAAGCCUGCGAAGGUGUGCUGUGAGGCAUGCUGGAGGUAUCAGAAGUGCGAAUGCUGACAUAAGUAACGAUAAAGCGGGUGAAAAGCCCGCUCGCCGGAAGACCAAGGGUUCCUGU
rnacentral:rRNA from 1 species